UACGGGGGGGGCAAGCGUUGUUCGGAAUUACUGGGCGUAAAGGGCUCGUAGGUGGCCAACUAAGUCAGACGUGAAAUCCCUCGGCUUAACCGGGGAACUGCGUCUGAUACUGGAUGGCUUGAGUUCGGGAGAGGGAUGCGGAAUUCCAGGUGUAGCGGUGAAAUGCGUAGAUAUCUGGAGGAACACCGGUGGCGAAGGCGGCUCGCUGGACCGGUUCUGACGCUGAGGCGCGAAAGCGUGGGGAGCAAACAGG
rnacentral:rRNA from 1 species